rnacentral:tRNA from 1 species
GGGCGUGUAGUUCAGUGGUUCGAUUUUUCCAAGAAAAAUCGCGCUAAAGAACGCUACCUUGGCAUGGUAGAGGCCGCGAGUUCAAUUCUCGCCACGUCCA